AAUAGAUACCCGGGUAGUCCACGCCGUAAACGAUGAGUGCUAAGUGUUAGAGGGUUUCCGCCCUUUAGUGCUGCAGCUAACGCAUUAAGCACUCCGCCUGGGAAGUACGGCCGCAAGGCUGAAACUCAAAGGAAUUGACGGGGGCCCGCACAAGCGGUGGAGCAUGUGGUUUAAUUCGAAGCAACGCGAAGAACCUUACCAGGUCUUGACAUCCUCUGACAACCCUAGAGAUAGGGCUUCUCCUUCGGGAGCAGAGUGACAGGUGGUGCAUGGUUGUCGUCAGCUCGUGUCGUGAGAUGUUGGGUUAAGUCCCGCAACGAGCGCAACCCUUGAUCUUAGUUGCCAUCAUUAAGUUGGGCACUCUAAGGUGACUGCCGGUGACAAACCGGAGGAAGGUGGGGAUGACGUCAAAUCAUCAUGCCCCUUAUGACCUGGGCUACACACGUGCUACAAUGGACGGUACAAAGAGCUGCAAGACCGCGAGGUGGAGCUAAUCCCUUAAAGCCAUUCUCAGUUCGGAUUGUAGGCUACG
rnacentral:rRNA from 1 species